UUUUUUUUUUUUUUGGUUAAAUAGGCUUAAUAUUAUAAUAUUGUUAAUGUAUAAAAAAUUAUUAUUUUUGCCAUGUGACAGCCACAUCAGCACAAAUAUGGCAGAUACGUCAGCAUUUAAUAAACCAUUGGAUGGAAAAUCUAACGGAGGUGUUGUUUUGAAAUAAAAUAGUACGUGAAGUAUGAAAGUGAAAUGUUUUAAAGACGUUGUAUGAGAUUGUAAUAGACCUGAAACCUGAGGGGUUUUUAAUGUAAUUUACUCAAAAGACUCUUGAAUAUUUUCUUCACAAUGCACUUUGCGCUUUCUAGAAUAAUAAUGAAUAAAUCUUCCUCACAAAAAAAAAAAUUCAAACAAGAAGGAUGUAUAUACAUUUUAAUUCAUAGAGAAUGUGUGUGAGAAUUAAAGAAUCAUGUUUGAGUUUGAGCGUGUAUUUAAAAAUGGGGGGAGGAUCCGGAUCCGGAUCCGGGCGGAAUAAAAAAAGCCGCGAAGUGCAAACGAGAUGUGUGAAACGCAGAAGCGGCGCCGCGACGGACCAGACAGGUUUCUGACACGUGUCACUGGCAUGAACGUGCGGCAGCCCCAUUUGAUUUUGUCGUGAACGGCACGCGUGGAGGAUGAGUCAAAACCCCAGACGCAAGAGCGAAAGCUUUCCAGUCUUAAAAGCAACUUU
rnacentral:lncRNA from 1 species